UGGCCAAGGCCGCCCUCCUCCACUUCCCCAGAAGCCCCAGGUCUCUCCCGAUUACGCUCGCUCGCAAGGUGCAGGAAAAGCAAUCUGAGUCGCCGAGCGUCCCAGCACCGGCAGCGCGCCGCCGGGGGGCCCCGCGCCUCCGGUCCCCGCGCGCACCCGCUCGCCCGCUCGCUCCGAGCGCUCGCCGCAACUUUCCACUGCGCCUCCCGUCCGCCCCUGCCGCCUCCCGCGCGCUGCCUGCCACCCGGCCGGGAGCGCCUUCCUCACGGACGCCCUCGCUCGGCCCCGGCCGCCUUACCCAGGGGGUCGUGGCGGAGUAGGGCGUGCGUGUAGUCGUUCACCGUCCGCGGGAACGGGUACAGAGGGCCUCCGAAGCCACCGGGGCCGUAGGCGGCGGCCAGCGCGGCGGCGGGGUGGUGCGAGAAGGCGGGGUGGACCGGCGUGGGCUCGUACACCGGGGUCCGGUAGGAGGACACGAGGCUGGUGAAGGAGGAGUUGGGGGACGGCAGCGUGGGAGUGGGCGUGGGGGCGGCGGGCCCGCGACCCAGGAUGUCGUCGAUGUAGAAGGGUGUCGGGUGAGCCGGCUGCAGCAGCGGCGUGGGCGCGUACAGCGGGACUCCCACGGCGGGCGCAGCCGCGGGCCCCGGGUGCGGGAACUGCAUGGCUCGGACUCGGAGCCCCUCGGAGAGAGCUGCCCGCCGGCGCCGCCGCGGCUACAUUUAUUUGUGCUCUGCGCUCCAGGCGAUAGGCUCGGGCAGCCGCGGGGUGGGGCCGCGCUCGGUCCCCUUCCUGCCGCCAAGCCCUGCGGCCAAUGGCGCGGGCCUCGGACUCGCCUCCGCCCCCCCUCCGCCCCCGCUCCGACCCGCCCCCGCCGGCCCAGCUCCCGCCCCCCGAGACGCUCCGGUGGCCGAGCUCCAGAGACCCUCUGCCGGGGUGCUCCUCCGCCGCAGGGGCUCCCAGAGGCUCAAGCAUUUAGAGAGAGUCGCUGCGACCGUCGAAGAGGAGAACACGCGGCAGGCGCCUGGGGGUGGGGGGGCGCGGAUCGCAGCGGGAUGGCGCCACUGCUGAAACUCCGGCAGCCUCUGGCACCUGGAGAAGCGAUGGGACUCUGCGGGCGGCAGGACGGCACCUGCGGGCGCCAGAGCCACCUCCCAGGAGGCUGCGCUUCUUGGGGGUAACGGUGGCACUGUUUAGAACGGGAGGGGGGGGGGCCUCGGCAGCUCGGAGCUCCAGGAGAAGACCCUAGCGGUUGACUGCGUCCCAGACCGGUCCUGACAGCUCCGGUUGCAGCUGCCACGGGACUGAAGGUGAAAGAGAAAACUGGUAGCCAGAGGACCUGGGUCCGAGUUUCACUUCGAAUAUUAUUUUCUUGAGCAACUAACAACUGUGCGUCAUUAACAAAUGAGAGCGACAGCCUGUGCCCUGGUGGAAGCAGGAAGCGAACACAGUAACCUAUAGACGAGGGAGAAAUCGUGUGUAAGGGUCGGAAACCCUAGGGAGCUCCAGCCCCUCGUUUGGGGUAAAGGAGAGAGUCACUUCGAGAAAGGGAAAGUCUUCCGAAAGGAAAUAAUGUUUGAAAGAUAAGUAGGUGUCAACGAGCCUAGGGUGUGAGGAGUGACUCCAAGCGCUUGAGUUCAGUCUGGGUCAGUUUAUUGCCCUGGGCUUUUCUCACCUGACCCAUUUGGGACUUGACAUAAAGGUUCCAAACUGCUCGGGAAUGGAGUCACUGGCAUCUAUCAGAAUAAUGACAGACAAAAGCCACUAGCACAGACAAACCAGUGAGUGCGAGAAGCGCUGGUAUUUGAAUUAAAACCUUGGGGGGCUAGUAAGGAUACAUCUCCGUGUGUUCGCUCUGUUAUGGGAACCAUAGAAGGAAAGCAAGUUUAACUUCGGACAGGACUGGAAAGAGAGCAGACUUCCGAAUAACUGGAGAACUGAACCUUGUGAGGUUUCAGGUGAGCACAAAGACAUCUUGGCCAGACACCUUGAGAAGACAAUAGACUGCUUGAAGGGGCUUCCGGUGGGCAAACCCCGGGUUAUUUAAGCCUUGAAAAUUAUGUCGUCGUCGUCGAGGGGCUAGCCUGGCCACCUGAGCUUGGAUCCACGGAAGACAUGGUGGAAGGAAGAACCGAUUCCACAGUUACCCUCUGCUUGCCAUCCCGCCUUAUACGCAACAGUUGAGAAGAUACAUAGUAAAUUAUGCUAUUUCUGAGUCCAUUGAACUCACGGGAAACACAGGAGUGGUGGGUGGGAAAACUGGAAGAGGCCAGUGAGGUGGCUCAGCCUAUGGGAGAUUGUCUCCCUAAUGCUGCAAACUGUAAGGACUCAAGGUCAAACUUCCGACCACACAUGGGGAGGGGGGAGGGAUGGAAAGAGAGACAUCUGUAGCCCCAUAGCUGGAGUGCCCAAAACACACAUCAGACACAAUAACUAUGAGAUACUUUUUAGUGUAGAAAGUUUUAUUGGUUCAGGAAAGACUCGUUAGACACACAGGUAUUGAGUGAAACAUUGAAGAUGAGGAUUCCGGCAAGCUCUUACAGAAUUAAGGCAGUUCUUUGGGGGUAAAAAUCGGAAUAAAUAUGAAUUGUGCAUAGCUGGCAAUAUUUCACUGGUAUACUGUUAGGUGUGAUUUUGAUCUUGUGUGUUACAAAUUGGAAACGGACAACUAAGAUGCAAACUGAAGCAUUUUAAGAAUGUGGGCCAUGACACCUGUGACCUUCGAGUACCUCAUUCUACAAAGCGUGUAGUUACUCAUAAGUACACAGCUGCAAAGGUAUACAUCUGUACACAUCAAGAAGGGAGUAAACCAAGCGUUGCAGAAUGCUAAUUGGUGAGUUGAGGUGAAGAACGUACAGGUUUCUGUUGUGUUGUAGUCUUAACUGCACGGUAGCUUUCAAAGUUUUCAGUAUACAAACUAGAAAGGAAGAAGUCUAAGUUUGUAUGUUAAAAUAAUUAAAGCUCUGGGUCAGAGAUGGCUCAAUGGAUAAA